rnacentral:rRNA from 1 species
ACGGGAGGCAGCAGUGGGGGAUAUUGCACAAUGGGGGGAACCCUGAUGCAGCGACGCCGCGUGAGCGAUGAAGUAUUUCGGUAUGUAAAGCUCUAUCAGCAGGAAAGAUAAUGACGGUACCUGGCUAAGAAGCACCGGCUAAAUACGUGCCAGCAGCCGCGGUAAUACGUAUUGUGCAAGCGUUAUCCGGAUUUACUGGGUGUAAAGGGAGCGCAGACGGCAUGGCAAGCCAGAUGUGAAAUGCGGGGGCUCAACUCCUGAACUGCAUUUGGAACUGUCAAGCUAGAGUAUCGGAGAGGUAAGUGGAAUUCCUAGUGUAGCGGUGAAAUGCGUAGAUAUUAGGAGGAACACCAGUGGCGAAGGCGGCUUACUGGACGAUAACUGACGUUGAGGCUCGAAAGCGUGGGGAGCAAACAGGAUUAGAUACCCUGGUA